rnacentral:rRNA from 1 species
CUUAAGGGCGGAGGCCCAACCUCCCACCCGUGUUUACUGUACCUUAGUUGCUUCGGCGGGCCCGCCAUUCGUGGCCGCCGGGGGCUCUCAGCCCCGGGCCCGCGCCCGCCGGAGACACCACGAACUCUGUCUGAUCUAGUGAAGUCUGAGUUGAUUGUAUCGCAAUCAGUUAAAACUUUCAACAAUGGAUCUCUUGGUUCCGGCAUCGAUGAAGAACGCAGCGAAAUGCGAUAACUAGUGUGAAUUGCAGAAUUCCGUGAAUCAUCGAGUCUUUGAACGCACAUUGCGCCCCCUGGUAUUCCGGGGGGCAUGCCUGUCCGAGCGUCAUUGCUGCCCAUCAAGCACGGCUUGUGUGUUGGGUCGUCGUCCCCUCUCCGGGGGGGACGGGCCCCAAAGGCAGCGGCGGCACCGCGUCCGAUCCUCGAGCGUAUGGGGCUUUGUCACCCGCUCUGUAGGCCCGGCCGGCGCUUGCCGAACGCAAAUCAAUCUUUUUCCAGGUUGACCUCGGAUCAGGUAGGGAUACCCGCUGAACUUAAGCAUAUCAAAGCCGGGAGGAA